rnacentral:rRNA from 1 species
UCAAGUUGUUUGGGAUUGCAGCUUAAAAUGGGAGGUAAAUUUCUCCUAAGGCUAAAUAACGGCGAGAGACCGAUAGCGAACAAGUACCGUGAGGGAAAGAUGAAAAGAACUUUGAAAAGAGAGUUAAACAGUACGUGAAAUUGUUGAAAGGGAAACGAUUGAAGCCAGUCGUACCUUCGGGUAAUCAGCCUUUCGGGUGCGAUUCUGUGGAGUGUGAGGAGCUUAAACACCUUCAUGUUUUGCAUAUUCGUACUCUUGGGUGUACUUUACGUCAACUUCCUUAACGAAUUUAAAAAACUCUAACCUAUUGAUAAUCAUAUUCAUCAUUAUCAGCAAGCUGUUA